GAUGAACGCUGGCGGCGCGCCUAACACAUGCAAGUCGAACGAUUAAAGCACCUUCUUGUGUGUAUAAAGUUGCGAACGGCUGUGUAACACGUGCGCAACCUGCCCCUCUCUUUUGGUUAGCCACCUGAAACCGUGGAUAAUACCUAAUACUUCGUGUCUUCCGCAUGGUAGACUCGUGAAAGCUCCGGCGGUGGGGGUUUGGCCCGCGGCCUGUUAGCUUGUUGGUGGGGUAUGGGCCUACCAAGGCAAUGAGGGGCAGCUGAGAUGAGCAGCCGACCAGCAAGAUUGGGACUGAGGCAGGGCCCAGAAUGCAACGGGAGGCAGCGGGGGGGAAUCUUGCACAAUGGGCGAAAGCCAGAGGCAGCGACGCCGGGAGCGGGAUGAAGGGCUUCGGGUGGUAAACAGAUUUCAGAAGAGACGAGGCGAAAGUGACGGUACCUGCAGAAGAAGCCCCGGCUAACUACGAG
rnacentral:rRNA from 1 species